UGAAUAGCCCCUCCUUCGCUCAAUCUUUACCGUCCUCGUGGUCAAAAAAAAUAUUUGCCAUCCUUCUGUCGAUCGUCCCUGUCUCUUCUCUUCUAGGGUUCACCACCUCCGCCGCCCCUGACGCUACUCCUUCGCUGCUGCCCCUCCCUCUGCCUGCCUCCUCUCUCUCUCUCUCUCUCUCUCUCUCCGUCAAUCCAUCCAAGUCGAACCACACCCGUCGCGUCCCAUGCUCCCAUGGGAGAUCGAGCGCAUGUAGCCAACCGAUGAGCCACCUUGUUUUCCGGCGGCACCUCGCUGCGGCCGCGGCCAUCCGGCGAUCCCCUGCUGCGUUCACUUCCAUGUGACCCACCUCUCACCCGCGCUCCAUGUUUUUGGUCGUGAUCCGGUUUCGUCCAAUGCUUAUCAUCGCGGGGGGAGCAGUCCGUGGAAAUUUGAUGCCGGUUUCUUAUGCAGGAGCUCGAAGCACCUGCUCCCGGGCCGCCAUUUUAGACACGGUCUGGGCUGGUAGCUGUCAGGGUUCCGAGGGGAGCCUGGCAUUGAUUUGCACUGCUCGGUUACUCACAGUUUUAGGUGAUGUGCAGGUUGCUGCACACGCCGGAAUUUGCUAUGGUGUCUCCCAAGGAGAUCUCUGGUUCAAGCCCAGGGGAAGUGCAGAAAUUCGGUAAGAUGACCGCCAUUUUGUGGAUAUGUUUGUAUGCAUUCUUUUAAAUUGGUCCUGCUUGCUAGCUUUAUCAUGGGCACGCUUCAUAACUGUCUCUGUCCAUGGGGUUACUGAUUACUGAUUGUGAUGUUUAAGCAUGAUACAUAGGAAUAUUAUUAUCUUUAUGGUGAAGGUGGAUAGAAAUAAUUUUACUUGAGAAGGAGCUUUCCAUUGCAUCCGAUGUGUACUAUCAUUCUCUGAACUUCCUAUUGGGCAAAAUGGACAAGAUGUGUUUGGUCAGUCGUGCUUUGUUUUUUUAGGCUAUGGCUAUGAUAACUUGAUGACACCCCUUUGUAGUACAGAGCAAUCUCAUGUGUUUGUCCUCCAGCUUCAGGAACAUUGAUUACUGUACAAUGGCCAAGCAAUUAUUUAAAAAAUACAAAACCUGAAAUUGAAUUGCUAAAACAUGGAAUUAUUCUUCUUCUUGGUAGGUUAAUGUAUGACUAUCAGGUUCCCCACCAAGUGAAAUGUGCUAUUUCACCACAGACAUUGACAAAGUUAAGUUCAGUGCAGGGAAAAUGGAUAGUCUGCUAACUGGAACUCUAGAUAGUUGAUCCUUUGAAUGGCGAAAAAAUUAUCAAAGUUGCUGAGGUUCGGGGAUCUGAAAUAAAGGUAGUGAUGCUUUUGGGUGCUUAUCUUUUCAUUUUCAUGUCACGGCGAUGUGAGUGUAAUUUGUUCAUAGUAUCUAUUAACUUUUCCCAACUCAAAAUACAAUAUUUUUUUUUCAAAAAGAGCUCAAAAUACAACUGACUUUUCCUUGUUUAAACUUUACUGGUAUUGUCGUGUGUGUAUUAGCUCUAAAGUAUGUUCUCAAAGAAUAUGUAAUUUUUUCGUGUUGCAUCCAUUUGUGGAGAGUUUAUCUAAAUGUCCACCGCAUGGACUUCACAACCCCCUUAGAGCUCCUUCUGGUCUAUUUUGUUUUCUUGUACUAUGAAUUUAAGGUGAUUCUCGAGGGGAACAAGUCGCCAUGGACUGGCGAGAUCGAGAGAGGCUCCGCGGUUGCGAGGAACGCCGGCUGAGAGGAGUGGCAACAACAACUCGUUGGACGUGAUUGCCCGAGCAUUUGUGAGAGGGGAUAGAGCGGCGGUUGCGCAACUACCUCGUCCCGACAAGUUGCGAGAGUGGAUGGAGUGGCGGCUGCAUGGGGGCACUCCUGGAGGUGUCAGUAUGCACCCUAAUUUUGAGCCUGGGAGGAUCCUCGCUCUGCCCAAGCCUCAAGGGUGUCCAUCUACUUUGGUGUCGUUUUCUGGAGUCAAGAUGAUGCACUAAUGCAGCAAGAAUGUAUAGAUCUCCAGAGCUCUAUGGAUCCUUCUCUUCACAAAAGCCUUAGGGCGUGGACGGCGAGAAGCGGAGGCACAUGCCUAGCGUAGUGGACCAUGAUGGAUUGAUGAGCUGAUGUCACGUGGCGGCUGGUUAUGCCCCAGCGGCUGGAGCCAUCAUCGACCAUGCUACAAAAUACAAUUUAUAUGUUUUUCAAAAAGAGCUCAAAAUACAACCGACUUUUCCUUGUUUAAAUUGUACUGGUAUUGUCGUGUGUGUAUUAGCUCUGAAGUAUGUUCUCAAAGAAUAUGUAAUAUUUUUCGUGUUGUAUCCAUUUGUGGAGAGUUUAUCUAAAUGCCCAACGCAUGGACUUCACAACCCCCGUAGAGCUCCUUCUUGUCUGUGUUGUUUUCUUGUACUAUGGAUUUAAGGUGAUUCUUGAGGGGAACAAGUCGCCAUGGACCGGCGAAAUCGAGACAAGCUCUGCAGUUGUCAGGAGCGCCCGCUGAGAGGAGUGGCAACAACAACCCGUUGGCUGUGACGGCCCGAGCAUUUGUGAUAGGGGAUGGAGCGGCAGUUGCGCAACUAUCUCGUCCUGACUAGUUGCAAGAGUGGAUGGAGUGGCGGCUGCAUGGGCGCGCUUCGGGAGGUGUCAGUAUGCACCCUGAUUUUGAGCCUGGGAAGAUCCUCGCUCUGCCCUAGCCUCAAGGGUGCCCAUCUACUUUGGUGUCGCUUUUUGGAGUCAAGAUGAUGCACUAAUGCAGGUUUGAUUAUUUACUUUUUCUUUUCUUUCAUUUGUAUGCAUAUCCCUAAAUUUUGUGAGACGUGAUUUGAA